CCGGGCGGUCGCAUCGCAUGCUGGGAGUUGUAGUUCGAUGCAGUUUAGGGUUUUGGGCGUGGGCUCCAAAAUCCUAGGUUUGACCUCAGCCGGCCCUGAGCCGUUAUUGGCUGCCGUUAAGGACCGUUACCAUUCUCAGAUUUUCAGAGGCUGAAUUAAGGCUAAUGAAAUGGGACUCAUGAAGAGUGAUUAUGGAGGAUGAUGGUGCUGGUGUUUGUGGCCUCUUGUCAUUCUUGCAAUCUGAAGCUUAAGUAAGACACUCUGCAUGGUAUUUUACUGCAAACCAAGCAAUUUUGGCUCAGUGGAGAGCUUUUCUGGGAGAUAGGCAAGCAAUGUGACUGAGGUGGCCAAGCUCAGAAUGCAAGUAUGAGUCCAAGUUUCUGGAAUCCAAGUUAGAAUCUUCUAAAUUCUUAGAUUUUGUAGGAUUCAUGACUUCUCUGUAGUAAAAAUUUUAAUUUUUAUGUUUUUAAAAAGAAAUUUAAAAACAUAGAAAUUGAGUAUA